ACGCACGCUGGCGGCGUGCUUAACACAUGCCAGUCGAACGGAAAGGCCCUGCUUUUGUGGGGUGCUCGAGUGGCGAACGGGUGAGUAACACGUGAGUAACCUGCCCUUGACUUUGGGAUAACUUCAGGAAACUGGGGCUAAUACCGGAUAGGAGCUCCUGCUGCAUGGUGGGGGUUGGAAAGUUUCGGCGGUUGGGGAUGGACUCGCGGCUUAUCAGCUUGUUGGUGGGGUAGUGGCUUACCAAGGCUUUGACGGGUAGCCGGCCUGAGAGGGUGACCGGCCACAUUGGGACUGAGAUACGGCCCAGACUCCUACGGGAGGCAGCAGUGGGGAAUAUUGCACAAUGGGCGGAAGCCUGAUGCAGCAACGCCGCGUGCGGGAUGACGGCCUUCGGGUUGUAAACCGCUUUCGCCUGUGACGAAGCGUGAGUGACGGAAAUGGGUAAAGAAGCACCGGCUAACUACGUG
rnacentral:rRNA from 1 species